GAACGAAAGGGUGACGAAGAAGACAGCAACCAGACUGAUUUCAUCAAGGGCCUUGGAUUGUGUCUAGAAGUCUCCAGAUUUGUUCGUUGCUAGUUCCGCUGCACCCAAGGUCCGUGGGAGGAGCCAGGAUCGUGCUCCAAUAGUUCUUGUAUUUGAUGUAUCUACCUAAGAUCCAAGGGCUGACCAUCAUGUUAUUGGGCACUCACCAUUGUGGAUCGACCAUCUUGGUUGUUGCCCGAGAUAUGUAUGGAGUCGAAAAAUUUUGAUCAUGAAAGAUGCCUC
rnacentral:lncRNA from 1 species